rnacentral:misc_RNA from 1 species
GAUGAAGAACGUAGCAAAAUGCGAUAAGUAAUGUGAAUUGCAGAAUUCAGUGAAUCAUCGAAUCUUUGAACGCACAUUGCGCCCGCUAGUAUUCUGGCGGGCAUGCCUGUUCGAGCGUCAUUUCAACCAUCAAGCCCUGCUUGUGUUGGGGUCCUGCGGCUGCCCGCAGGCCCUGAAAACCAGUGGCGGGCUCGCUAGUCACACCGAGCGCAGUAGCACAUCUCGCUCAGGGCGUGCGGCGGGUUCUUGCCGUAAAACACCCCCUUUUUACCAAGGUUGACCUCGGAUCAGGUAGGAAUACCCGCUGAACUUAAGCAUAUCAAUAAGCGGAGGA